UUCCAGCUAUUUGGAGAAGAAAUUCAAUUCAGACUUGCUGAUCACACACACGCUGCCAUUCGCUGAAGUGAACAAGGGAUUUGAGUUGUUACGUGCCGGAAAAAGUAUCCGCACUGUCCUGCUCUUCUGAAGGACACAGCCAAGGAAGCCCAGCAGAGGGACCAGCACAGCAGAUGCUCUCCUGGCCCUGGCACCUUCUCAAGGUGAACAAGGAAUUCACCUGUGCUGAUGCCACUGCUGCUCCUGCUGUGCCUGGACAGGACAUAGAAGGAUGUCUCUCCCAAGAAAACACUUUUACUAAUAAAGGUUUUUAAACCAA